GGUUAAGCGACUAAGCGUACACGGUGGAUGCCCUGGCAGUCAGAGGCGAUGAAGGACGUGCUAAUCUGCGAUAAGCGUCGGUAAGGUGAUAUGAACCGUUAUAACCGGCGAUUUCCGAAUGGGGAAACCCAGUGUGAUUCGUCACACUAUCAUUAACUGAAUCCAUAGGUUAAUGAGGCGAACCGGGGGAACUGAAACAUCUAAGUACCCCGAGGAAAAGAAAUCAACCGAGAUUCCCCCAGUAGCGGCGAGCGAACGGGGAGCAGCCCAGAGCCUGAAUCAGCUUGUGUGUUAGUGGAACGGUCUGGAAAGUCCGACGGUACAGGGUGAUAGUCCCGUACACCAAAAUGCACAGGCUGUGAACUCGAAGAGUAGGGCGGGACACGUGGUAUCCUGUCUGAAUAUGGGGGGACCAUCCUCCAAGGCUAAAUACUCCUGACUGACCGAUAGUGAACCAGUACCGUGAGGGAAAGGCGAAAAGAACCCCGGCGAGGGGAGUGAAAAAGAACCUGAAACCGUGUACGUACAAGCAGUGGGAGCACCUUCGGGUGUGACUGCGUACCUUUUGUAUAAUGGGUCAGCGACUUAUAUUCUGUAGCAAGGUUAACCGUAUAGGGGAGCCGCAGGGAAACCGAGUCUUAACUGGGCGUUAAGUUGCAGGGUAUAGACCCGAAACCCGGUGAUCUAGCCAUGGGCAGGUUGAAGGUUGGGUAACACUAACUGGAGGACCGAACCGACUAAUGUUGAAAAAUUAGCGGAUGACUUGUGGCUGGGGGUGAAAGGCCAAUCAAACCGGGAGAUAGCUGGUUCUCCCCGAAAGCUAUUUAGGUAGCGCCUCGUGAACUCAUCUUCGGGGGUAGAGCACUGUUUCGGCUAGGGGGUCAUCCCGACUUACCAACCCGAUGCAAACUACGAAUACCGAAGAAUGUUAUCACGGGAGACACACGGCGGGUGCUAACGUCCGUCGUGAAGAGGGAAACAACCCAGACCGCCAGCUAAGGUCCCAAAGUCAUGGUUAAGUGGGAAACGAUGUGGGAAGGCCCAGACAGCCAGGAUGUUGGCUUAGAAGCAGCCAUCAUUUAAAGAAAGCGUAAUAGCUCACUGGUCGAGUCGGCCUGCGCGGAAGAUGUAACGGGGCUAAACCAUGCACCGAAGCUGCGGCAGCGACACUAUGUGUUGUUGGGUAGGGGAGCGUUCUGUAAGCCUGCGAAGGUGUGCUGUGAGGCAUGCUGGAGGUAUCAGAAGUGCGAAUGCUGACAUAAGUAACGAUAAAGCGGGUGAAAAGCCCGCUCGCCGGAAGACCAAGGGUUCCUGUCCAACGUUAAUCGGGGCAGGGUGAGUCGACCCCUAAGGCGAGGCCGAAAGGCGUAGUCGAUGGGAAACAGGUUAAUAUUCCUGUACUUGGUGUUACUGCGAAGGGGGGACGGAGAAGGCUAUGUUAGCCGGGCGACGGUUGUCCCGGUUUAAGCAUGUAGGCUGAUUGUCCAGGCAAAUCCGGAUAAUCAAGGCUGAGGUGUGAUGACGAGGCACUACGGUGCUGAAGUAACAAAUGCCCUGCUUCCAGGAAAAGCCUCUAAGCAUCAGGUAACAUCAAAUCGUACCCCAAACCGACACAGGUGGUCAGGUAGAGAAUACCAAGGCGCUUGAGAGAACUCGGGUGAAGGAACUAGGCAAAAUGGUGCCGUAACUUCGGGAGAAGGCACGCUGAUAUGUAGGUGAAGCGACUUGCUCGUGGAGCUGAAAUCAGUCGAAGAUACCAGCUGGCUGCAACUGUUUAUUAAAAACACAGCACUGUGCAAACACGAAAGUGGACGUAUACGGUGUGACGCCUGCCCGGUGCCGGAAGGUUAAUUGAUGGGGUUAUCCGUAAGGAGAAGCUCUUGAUCGAAGCCCCGGUAAACGGCGGCCGUAACUAUAACGGUCCUAAGGUAGCGAAAUUCCUUGUCGGGUAAGUUCCGACCUGCACGAAUGGCGUAAUGAUGGCCAGGCUGUCUCCACCCGAGACUCAGUGAAAUUGAACUCGCUGUGAAGAUGCAGUGUACCCGCGGCAAGACGGAAAGACCCCGUGAACCUUUACUAUAGCUUGACACUGAACAUUGAGCCUUGAUGUGUAGGAUAGGUGGGAGGCUUUGAAGCGUGGACGCCAGUCUGCGUGGAGCCAACCUUGAAAUACCACCCUUUAAUGUUUGAUGUUCUAACGUUGGCCCCUGACCGGGGUUGCGGACAGUGUCUGGUGGGUAGUUUGACUGGGGCGGUCUCCUCCCAAAGCGUAACGGAGGAGCACGAAGGUUAGCUAAUCCUGGUCGGACAUCAGGAGGUUAGUGCAAUGGCAUAAGCUAGCUUGACUGCGAGCGUGACGGCGCGAGCAGGUGCGAAAGCAGGUCAUAGUGAUCCGGUGGUUCUGAAUGGAAGGGCCAUCGCUCAACGGAUAAAAGGUACUCCGGGGAUAACAGGCUGAUACCGCCCAAGAGUUCAUAUCGACGGCGGUGUUUGGCACCUCGAUGUCGGCUCAUCACAUCCUGGGGCUGAAGUAGGUCCCAAGGGUAUGGCUGUUCGCCAUUUAAAGUGGUACGCGAGCUGGGUUUAGAACGUCGUGAGACAGUUCGGUCCCUAUCUGCCGUGGGCGCUGGAGAAUUGAGGGGGGCUGCUCCUAGUACGAGAGGACCGGAGUGGACGCAUCACUGGUGUUCGGGUUGUCAUGCCAAUGGCACUGCCCGGUAGCUAAAUGCGGAAGAGAUAAGUGCUGAAAGCAUCUAAGCACGAAACUUGCCCCGAGAUGAGUUCUCCCUGAGACUUUAAGUCUCCUGAAGGAACGUUGAAGACGACGACGUUGAUAGGCCGGGUGUGUAAGCGCAGCGAUGCGUUGAGCUAACCGGUACUAAUGAACCGUGAGGCUUAACCUU
rnacentral:rRNA from 1 species